GGUGAACGCUGGCGGCGUGCCUAAUACAUGCAAGUCGAGCGAACAGACAAUGAGCGCGCUCCCUUGAGGGUGGCGGCGGGCGGGCGAGUGACACGUGGAUCACCUACCUCUAAGACUGGGAUAAUUUCGGGAAACCACAUCCAAUACCGGAUAAUAUAUUCAACCGGAGGGAGCAAUAGUGAUAGAGGGUUUUGCCGUCACAUUGAGAUGAAUCCGGGCCGCAUUAGCUAGUUGGUAAGGUAACGGCUUACCAAGGCAACGAUGCGUAGCCGACCUGAGAGGAUGAUCAGCCACACUGGAACUGAGACACGGUCCAGACUCCUACGGGAGGCAGCAGUAGGGAAUCUUGCGCAAUGGGCGCAAGCCUGACGGAGCAACGCCGCGUGGGUGAAGAAGGUCUUCGGAUCGUAAAGCUCUGUUAUUGGGGAAGAACAACUGUGGAAGUAACCAUGCACGUCUUGACGGUACCUAAUCAGAAAGCCCCGGCUAACUACGUG
rnacentral:rRNA from 1 species